ensembl:lncRNA
AGGGAUGUGCCUUCGGUCUUUACGCUCUGCUGGGAGGCGAAGCUGGGGGUGGGAAGGCAGUCGAGGUCCCUCAUUUUUAAAGAGGAAAGCAGUCAGUGUACAGAAACGGAACGGGUUGAAAACAGGCUAAUGGAGUGUGCCCCCCUCCCAAAACGGGCUCCUUCGCUACCCCGGCCAGUCUUAGGUCCCUCUUUCUUAUGUCUCGGAGAUCAGAGAAGCACCGACUGGGAGCUUCGGCAUUUCUUUUGUCACCCUUUUUAUGCCUGGGUCUUUCCCAGUAAGAGAGGAUGGCACUGCAACCUGAGGGCUUGAGGACGGACUUUUAAGAAGAACUUCCCAAAAGAGUUUGAUAGGAAUGGCGGAAGAUCCAGGGAAGGAAACCAUGACAGAGAAACACUGGAAGGCCCCAGAAUUGGGGAUGAGAUGCCCCCUGGAUCAAAGAUGAAACAAAGUUAGCAACAAACCUUUUUUUGGGGAUUAAGUGCUCCCACCUCUGAGCAAGAGUGAGAGAGGAAGAAUUGGAGAGAUGAGACCUCUGGCUGUUCCCUGCUCUUGUCCACUCUCCUACCCCAGGAACCCAGGCUGGGGGACCUGGGAGCCGUGGGGGGGCCUCCCGCUCUGUGGACAGGUGACUGUUUUGCACAUUUUCAGAAAUCGCAG